rnacentral:rRNA from 5 species
GCUGGCGACCAUAGCAAGAGUGAACCACCUGAUCCCUUCCCGAACUCAGAAGUGAAACCUCUUAGCGCUGAUGGUAGUGUGGGGUCUCCCAUGUGAGAGUAAGUCAUCGCCAGCU